UCCUACGGGAGGCAGCAGUAGGGAAUAUUGGGCAAUGGGCGCAAGCCUGACCCAGCGACGCCGCGUGAGGGAUGAAGGUCUUCGGAUUGUAAACCUCUUUCAGUAGGGAAGAAGCGAAAGUGACGGUACCUAAAGAAGAAGCACCGGCUAACUAUGUGCCAGCAGCCGCGGUAAUACAUAGGGUGCAAGCGUUGUCCGGAAUUAUUGGGCGUAAAGAGCUCGUAGGUCGUUUGUCGCGUCGAUUGUGAAAAUCUGAGGCUCAACCUCAGACCUGCAGUCGAUACGGGCAAACUAGAGUGUGGUAGGGGAGACUGGAAUUCCUGGUGUAGCGGUGGAAUGCGCAGAUAUCAGGAGGAACACCAAUGGCGAAGGCAGGUCUCUGGGCCAUAACUGACACUGAGGAGCGAAAGUGCGGGGAGCGAACAGGAUUAGAUACCCUGGUAGUCCGUACCGUAAACGGUGGGCACUAGUUGUGGGAACCUUCCACGGUUUCCGCGACGCAGCAAACGCAUUAAGUGCCCCGCCUGGGGAGUACGAUCGCAAGAUUAAAACUCAAAGGAAUUGACGGA
rnacentral:rRNA from 1 species